GGAUGCGAUCAUACAAGCACUAAAGCACUGGAUCCCAUCAAAACUCCGAAGUUAAGCGUGCUUGGGCGAGAGUAGUACUAGGAUGGGUGACCUCUUGGGAAGUCCUCGUGUUGCAUUUC
rnacentral:rRNA from 2 species